CCUACGUGAGGCAGCAGUGGGGAAUAUUGCACAAUGGGGGAAACCCUGAUGCAGCGACGCCGCGUGAGUGAAGAAGUAAUUCGUUAUGUAAAGCUCUAUCAGCAGGGAAGAAAAUGACGGUACCUGAGUAAGAAGCCCCGGCUAACUACGUGCCAGCAGCCGCGGUAAUACGUAGGGGGCAAGCGUUAUCCGGAUUUACUGGGUGUAAAGGGAGCGUAGACGGCAGUGCAAGUCUGGAGUGAAAGGCGGGGGCUCAACCCCCGGACUGCUCUGGAAACUGUACGGCUGGAGUGCAGGAGAGGUAAGUGGAAUUCCGAGUGUAGCGGUGAAAUGCGUAGAUAUUAGGAGGAACACCAGUGGCGAAGGCGGCUUACUGGACUGUAACUGACGUUGAGGCUCGAAAGCGUGGGGAGCAAACAGGAUUAGAUACCCGAGUAGUC
rnacentral:rRNA from 1 species